UCUCCUGUAGCUCAGUGGCAGAGCGUCCGACUGGUGUGCGGAAGGCCAUAGCUUCGACUCAACUCCUGUUUGGAGAA